rnacentral:rRNA from 1 species
GACGGGGGAUGCGAGCGUUAUCCGGAAUGAUUGGGCGUAAAGGGUCCGCAGGUGGCCCGGUCAGUCCGCUGUCAAAGCCUGGGGCUCAACCCUGGAGAGGCGGCGGAGACCACCGGGCUUGAGUCCGGUAGGGGCAGAGGGAAUUCCCGGUGGAGCGGUGAAAUGCGUAGAGAUCGGGAAGAACGCCAAGGGCGAAAGCGGCUUCCUGGUCCAGCACCGACGUUCAGGCACGAAAGCGUGGGGAGCAAACAGG